GUAGGGAAUCUUCCACAAUGGACGAAAGUCUGAUGGAGCAACGCCGCGUGAGUGAAGAAGGUCUUCGGAUCGUAAAACUCUGUUGUUAGAGAAGAACGUGCAUGAUAGUAACUGAUCAUGUAAUGACGGUAUCUAACCAGAAAGCCACGGCUAACUACGUGCCAGCAGCCGCGGUAAUACGUAGGUGGCAAGCGUUGUCCGGAUUUAUGGGGCGUAAAGGGAACGCAGGCGGUUUUUUAAGGCUGAUGUGAAAGCCUUCGGCUUAACCGAAGAAUAGCAUUGGAAUCUGGAAGAAUUGAGUGCAGAAGAGGAGAGUGGAAUUCCAUGUGUAGCGGUGAAAUGCGUAGAUAUAUGGAGGAACACCAGUGGCGAAAGCGGCUCUCUGGUCUGUAACUGACGCUGAGGUUCGAAAGCGUGGGUAGCAAACAGAAUUAGAAACCCGUGUAGUCC
rnacentral:rRNA from 1 species